GGUUAAGUUAGAAAGGGCGCACGGUGGAUGCCUUGACACUAGGAGUCGAUGAAGGACGGGACUAACGCCGAUAUGCUUCGGGGAGCUGUAAGUAAGCUUUGAUCCGAAGAUUUCCGAAUGGGGAAACCCACCAUACGUAAUGGUAUGGUAUCCUUAUCUGAAUACAUAGGGUAAGGAAGACAGACCCAGGGAACUGAAACAUCUAAGUACCUGGAGGAAGAGAAAGCAAAUGCGAUUUCCUGAGUAGCGGCGAGCGAAACGGAACAUAGCCCAAACCAAGAGGCUUGCUCUUGGGGUUGUAGGACAUUCUAUACGGAGUUACAAAGGAACGAGGUAGACGAAGCGACCUGGAAAGGUCCGUCGUAGAGGGUAACAACCCCGUAGUCGAAACUUCGUUCUCUCUUGAAUGUAUCCUGAGUACGGCGGAACACGUGAAAUUCCGUCGGAAUCUGGGAGGACCAUCUCCCAAGGCUAAAUACUCCCUAGUGAUCGAUAGUGAACCAGUACCGUGAGGGAAAGGUGAAAAGCACCCCGGAAGGGGAGUGAAAGAGAUCCUGAAACCGUGUGCCUACAAAUAGUCAGAGCCCGUUAACGGGUGAUGGCGUGCCUUUUGUAGAAUGAACCGGCGAGUUACGAUCCCGUGCGAGGUUAAGCUGAAGAGGCGGAGCCGCAGCGAAAGCGAGUCUGAAUAGGGCGUUUAGUACGUGGUCGUAGACCCGAAACCAGGUGAUCUACCCAUGUCCAGGGUGAAGUUCAGGUAACACUGAAUGGAGGCCCGAACCCACACACGUUGAAAAGUGCGGGGAUGAGGUGUGGGUAGCGGAGAAAUUCCAAUCGAACCUGGAGAUAGCUGGUUCUCCCCGAAAUAGCUUUAGGGCUAGCCUUAAGUGUAAGAGUCUUGGAGGUAGAGCACUGAUUGGACUAGGGGUCCUCAUCGGAUUACCGAAUUCAGUCAAACUCCGAAUGCCAAUGACUUAUCCUUAGGAGUCAGACUGCGAGUGAUAAGAUCCGUAGUCAAAAGGGAAACAGCCCAGACCGCCAGCUAAGGUCCCAAAGUGUGUAUUAAGUGGAAAAGGAUGUGGAGUUGCUUAGACAACUAGGAUGUUGGCUUAGAAGCAGCCACCAUUUAAAGAGUGCGUAAUAGCUCACUAGUCGAGUGACUCUGCGCCGAAAAUGUACCGGGGCUAAAUACACCACCGAAGCUGCGGAUUGAUACCAAUGGUAUCAGUGGUAGGGAGCGUUCUAAGGACAGUGAAGUCAGACCGGAAGGACUGGUGGAGUGCUUAGAAGUGAGAAUGCCGGUAUGAGUAGCGAAAGACGGGUGAGAAUCCCGUCCACCGAAUGCCUAAGGUUUCCUGAGGAAGGCUCGUCCGCUCAGGGUUAGUCAGGACCUAAGCCGGGCCGACAGGCGUAGGCGAUGGACAACAGGUUGAUAUUCCUGUACCACCUCUUUAUCGUUUGAGCAAUGGAGGGACGCAGAAGGAUAGAAGAAGCGUGCGAUUGGUUGUGCACGUCCAAGCAGUUAGGCUGAUAAGUAGGCAAAUCCGCUUAUCGUAAAGGCUGAGCUGUGAUGGGGAAGCUCCUUAUGGAGCGAAGUCUUUGAUUCCCCGCUGCCAAGAAAAGCUUCUAGCGAGAUAAAAGGUGCCUGUACCGCAAACCGACACAGGUAGGCGAGGAGAGAAUCCUAAGGUGUGCGAGAGAACUCUGGUUAAGGAACUCGGCAAAAUGACCCCGUAACUUCGGGAGAAGGGGUGCUUUCUUAACGGAAAGCCGCAGUGAAUAGGCCCAAGCGACUGUUUAGCAAAAACACAGCUCUCUGCGAAGCCGUAAGGCGAAGUAUAGGGGGUGACACCUGCCCGGUGCUGGAAGGUUAAGGAGAGGGGUUAGCGUAAGCGAAGCUCUGAACUGAAGCCCCAGUAAACGGCGGCCGUAACUAUAACGGUCCUAAGGUAGCGAAAUUCCUUGUCGGGUAAGUUCCGACCCGCACGAAAGGUGUAACGAUUUGGGCACUGUCUCAACCAGAGACUCGGUGAAAUUAUAGUACCUGUGAAGAUGCAGGUUACCCGCGACAGGACGGAAAGACCCCGUGGAGCUUUACUGUAGCCUGAUAUUGAAUUUUGGUACAGUUUGUACAGGAUAGGCGGGAGCCUUUGAAACCGGAGCGCUAGCUUCGGUGGAGGCUGGUGGGAUACCGCCCUGACUGUAUUGAAAUUCUAACCUACGGGUCUUAUCGACCCGGGAGACAGUGUCAGGUGGGCAGUUUGACUGGGGCGGUCGCCUCCUAAAGUGUAACGGAGGCGCCCAAAGGUUCCCUCAGAAUGGUUGGAAAUCAUUCGUAGAGUGCAAAGGCAUAAGGGAGCUUGACUGCGAGACCUACAAGUCGAGCAGGGACGAAAGUCGGGCUUAGUGAUCCGGUGGUUCCGCAUGGAAGGGCCAUCGCUCAACGGAUAAAAGCUACCCCGGGGAUAACAGGCUUAUCUCCCCCAAGAGUCCACAUCGACGGGGAGGUUUGGCACCUCGAUGUCGGCUCAUCGCAUCCUGGGGCUGUAGUCGGUCCCAAGGGUUGGGCUGUUCGCCCAUUAAAGCGGUACGCGAGCUGGGUUCAGAACGUCGUGAGACAGUUCGGUCCCUAUCCGUCGUGGGCGUAGGAAAUUUGAGAGGAGCUGUCCUUAGUACGAGAGGACCGGGAUGGACGCACCGCUGGUGUACCAGUUGUUCUGCCAAGGGCAUAGCUGGGUAGCUAUGUGCGGAAGGGAUAAGUGCUGAAAGCAUCUAAGCAUGAAGCCCCCCUCAAGAUGAGAUUUCCCAUAGCGUAAGCUAGUAAGAUCCCUGAAAGAUGAUCAGGUUGAUAGGUUCGAGGUGGAAGCAUGGUGACAUGUGGAGCUGACGAAUACUAAUAGAUCGAGGACUUAACCAU
rnacentral:rRNA from 1 species